UACGAAGGGGGCUAGCGUUGUUCGGAAUCACUGGGCGUAAAGCGCACGUAGGCGGACUUCUAAGUCAGGGGUGAAAUCCCAGGGCUCAACCCUGGAACUGCCCUUGAUACUGGAAGUCUCGAGUCCGGGAGAGGUGAGUGGAACUCCGAGUGUAGAGGUGAAAUUCGUAGAUAUUCGGAAGAACACCAGUGGCGAAGGCGGCUCACUGGCCCGGUACUGACGCUGAGGUGCGAAAGCGUGGGGAGCAAAC
rnacentral:rRNA from 1 species